UGAUGCUGCUUGGCCUGCUGUGUUCAUCCAGCUCUACACCUUGUUAACUCAGAUUCUCCAGCAUCUGCAGUCUCUACUAUCUCUGAAACAGUGAUAAAAGGAGAUCCUUGCGGAAAGUGCUACAUUCCAUGGCAGCAUUGGCCUCUGAAUCAGAAUCAGUUUUUGUGCAGCAAAAAUACCCCAGCAACUUUAAGAAAAAUAACUGCUACCCGCUGUUUCAGGAAAAAAACUAUAUUUUAAGUGAAAAAUAUUAGUGCCAGGCAUCACUGGCUACACCAGCAUUUAUUGCCCAUCACAGAGGACAUUUCAG